rnacentral:rRNA from 1 species
UGAGGAAUAUUGCACAAUGGGGGAAACCCGUCGAUGCAGCAACGCCGCGUGGAGGAUGACGCAUUUCGGUGUGUAAACUCCUUUUAUGAGUCAAGAAAAUGACGGUAGCUCAUGAAUAAGCACCGGCUAACUCCGUGCCAGCAGCCGCGGUAAUACGGAGGGUGCAAGCGUUACUCGGAAUCACUGGGCGUAAAGGACACGUAGGCGGGUUGGUAAGUCAGAUGUGAAAUCCUACAGCUUAACUGUAGAACUGCAUUUGAAACUACUGACCUAGAGUAUGGGAGGGGGAGAUGGAAUUAGUGGUGUAGGGGUAAAAUCCGUAGAUAUCACUAGGAAUACCCAAAGCGAAGGCGAUCUCCUGGAACAUUACUGACGCUAAGGUGUGAAAGCGUGGGGAGCAAACG